rnacentral:rRNA from 1 species
GCUAGCGGCAGGCCUAACACAUGCAAGUCGAGGGGUAACAGGAAAGCUUGCUUUUGCUGACGACCGGCGCACGGGUGCGUAACGCGUAUGCAACCUACCUCAUACUGGAGGAUAGCCCUUGGAAACGAGGAUUAAUACUCCAUAGUAUCACGAAUUCGCAUGUUUUUGUGAUUAAAGUUUUUCGGUAUGAGAUGGGCAUGCGUCCCAUUAGCUAGUUGGUGAGGUAACGGCUCACCAAGGCGACGAUGGGUAGGGGGCCUGAGAGGGUGGUCCCCCACACUGGUACUGAGACACGGACCAGACUCCUACGGGAGGCAGCAGUGAGGAAUAUUGGUCAAUGGAGGCAACUCUGAACCAGCCAUGCCGCGUGAAGGAUGACGGCCCUAUGGGUUGUAAACUUCUUUUAUAUGGGAAGAAACUUAUCUACGUGUAGAUAACUGACGGUACCAUACGAAUAAGGAUCGGCUAACUCCGUGCCAGCAGCCGCGGUAAUACGGAGGAUCCAAGCGUUAUCCGGAUUCAUUGGGUUUAAAGGGUCCGUAGGCGGGUCUUUAAGUCAGUGGUGAAAGCCGACA